rnacentral:rRNA from 1 species
AACGUAGGAGGCGAGCGUUAUCCGGAGUUACUGGGCGUAAAGAGCGUGUAGGCGGAUGUGCAAGUCUGGCGUGAAAGCUCCCGGCUAAACUGGGAGAGUGCGCUGGAGACUGCAGAUCUAGAGGCAGGUAGAGGGACGUGGAAUUCCGGGUGUAGUGGUGAAAUGCGUAGAGAUCCGGAGGAACACCAGUGGCGAAGGCGGCAUCCUGGACCGACAUUGACGCUGAUGAGCGAAAGCUAGGGGAGCAAACGGG